CAGUGCAAGUCUGCAAACCAUUCUAAUGCUGACAGAGCAAAUGAAUGGUCUAGUUCUUUAAUACAGACCAGAACCAGCCCAGUGCUUCAAACGGUUCAGAUUCAGCAAUCCAGCAACCCUCUUUAUGAGACCUUCGAAAAUAAAUCCCCAGUCACUCUUAAAUAAAUGAAAAAGGAAAACGAGCAUUCUUGGCCCAUGAGAGGCAAAGCAACAGUCAUGUUUUUGAUUGACCAUAUUGAGAGUCAGUGAUUUGCAGAGUAAAUGAGUGUGGUGAGUGUGGCUUCGCUGUCCGUGUGUGAGAGGGAAAUACCGAGGAGGUGCAGUCAGCCUCUGCCUAAUGCAAGCGAGUGUCUCCAUUCCCAUACCAAGGCUGCAAUUCUGCUGCCCCACAUCCUCUGACGUCACAACCGGCAUCCAUGGAGCCAGUUGUGGUCUUCAACAAGGAAGACUGAUUUUUAAGGGAUAACAAAUUCCUUAGCUGUUCUGCCAGAUGUGUGUGUAGAAACAUCAGCAAAGCUGCUGAGGGCAAAACAAAGCCUUACAGUUCCCAUGAGCACCAGUGACAGAAGACCUUGCAAAGCUGGAAAAUCUAUCACCCUUAAAGCUGGAAUACUAAAGGAGGCCUGCUGGUGUGAAUAAACUUACGCAGUCUUCUCUCCAUUCACUGCUCUCGACUUGUGGCCUGCGGAAACCCUUGUGAAUGACCAGGUUGAUGAAGAGCUAUGAAUAUUGCUAAAGGCAGGGCUCAGGUUCUGAUAUGCCACUCCUCACAAAUAGGAAACCAUUGUCUGGGAUGAAAGGAGCUGAGUAGCGUGACAGGAAAAGCCUUUCCCUGCCAGUCCCAGCUGCUGGUAUUCGCUGGCAGGGAUCUUUGUGGUUCCUUUGCCCAUCAGGGUUCUGGUAAAAUCCAAUCUGACUGUGUCUGCCUGUGUGAAUACCAGCAGUGGAGCGUAGAAGACAGAGACAGACAUAUACAUGCCCAAAUACACACACACUCAAUGGAAAUGAAAGGCCCAGCAAGCUGCAGCAUGCUAUUUCCCGCACUCAUCUACACGAUCGGGUGGGCCUUCUGACAUGCUUACAUUCCUCUGCAGUGGACUGCUGAAUGUGUAUGGAUGGCUGCCACCAAAAUCUGUCUGUGGUUAAAGAUAGAUAAUGGGAGCCAGAUUGUCUGAGCUUGGAGGGAAAUAUAAUAAUUACCAGCAACUCAUUUGGAAUCUUGUUUGACAUUUCAUCUACACAGCUGUGUUUGUGAUUUUUUUUUCACUUGUGAAUAUUGGUCAUGGAACAAUAAAUCAAAGAGUCCUCGUCGGGUGAGAUCGACAUGACGGGCCGUAGCUAAUCAAAGGCUUGGAAGGAGGCCCUGGCAUCUAGAGUGCCAUGGCAAGGGUUCAAGUGUCUGAGUUAUGAUGAACAAGUAUGACAAGCCUGCAUUAUGGCGCCUUAUCUCACUAUGGUAAGACUGAAUGGCAAGUGUCAGUAUAGCAUGUGAGCAUACAGUGAUGGAGGAUACAUGCAGAGUUGCACAUGUAAGAGCUUGGAUUUAAAGCAGCACAGUCACAUGGUGAAUUUGCUGAAAUCAGUGAGCUGUGGAAUGCACAAUUUACUAAAAUUUGCAGCAAAUAAGACCAGAGAGCUGGAGAGAUCAAAUGUUAGGAACAAACGAGUAACUGGUUUUACGCACUUUUUUUGUGUGUGUAUGUUUUCUGUGCUUUUGAAUUUGGAGAGCUUUUGGUUCCAGAUACAGUGACACUUUGCUCCAGAUGUACAGUAUGCACAUGAGAAUGUUUCCCGCCUCGAACCAGGAGUGAUCGAGCUGCGUUUAACAUUAGGAAAUUAGUAAUCUCUAGAAGCUGCAGAAAAUAAACAAAAGAUCGGAAGUCAAGAUUAGUUGAGCUCUGGCUCACACUGCUGCUAAAUUGCACUUCUUUUUGAGGCCAGCAGAGUGUUUCCCACCAGUGCUAUGCUCCCUCUACAGGAGAGUCUAUGGAACUGUGUUUCUUUAUGUUCAAAAAUAGGAAGUGCUUUCCAAACCACUACACUCUCCUCUCCUGACAUCUACAUUACCACUACUUGUUUUCUUUAAUAUGUGUAGUAAGCGCAAUAACAGCCAGGAUGAUUGGACAUGUAAUGAUAGUUGAAGGCAUCAUUGUGGGAGUAAAUCGCUGUCUGUACCAAA